AGGAGCUGGAAGUAAUUGCUUAGAAAGUAGUGUUAAACAAAGGGUUGAAACCACAGAAUUGCUGAAGAGGGAACAUUAAAAAUGUCAGCAUGGAUGAAAGACAUUCACCAGCGCUUACUGUCGAGAAGCUACUGGCCUGCAGAUGUCCUAAAGGGUACUUGGCUAAUGGGAUCAACAUUACCGUUUUUGAUAUAAAUUAUAUUUUGGAAGCAAACAACACAACAAAAAAGCAUAGAAAUGGAGCAUCAAGCAGACUGUAAAAUAACCUAUUGCAAAUCUUCAGCUUGUGAAAACAAGACAAUGAGCCAUACUUUAAAUAAGCACAAGAUUCAAAGCACCCAGGAAGGACCUAAUGGGACAAAGUUUAGAGAGGCAGCAUGAUGCACUGGUUAGUGUGUUGGACUAGGAUCUGAGAGAGACCAGGGUUCAAAUCCCCACUCAGCCAUGUGGGCCAGUGUCUCAUUCUCAGCCUAACUUAUCUCACCUGGCUGUUGUGAAGAUAAAAAUGGGCAAGGGGAAAACUAUACACAAGAGUGUGAGCUCCUUAGAGGAAAGGUGAGAUAUAAGUGCAAUCAA